rnacentral:misc_RNA from 1 species
UUUUUAUUAUCCUUUUUCCCUACUUCAGGGCUAGUUGUCAUGUUUGGACUUGGAGAUUUUUUUCAAAUAUGAAAAUAUCAUAAAUUUUUUUACCAUGUAAAAAUUUGUUGGGUGGCAAUACUUACAGCGUUGAAUAAAACUAUAAAUUUUUUUACCAUGUAAAAUUCGUUCUAGGGGUGGGACUUAGGGGAAUUUUGGUGCCCAGGAGGGUAACCAAGGUUGAGCCUUUUAUGCUUUAAUUCAGGGCUAGUUUCUAGGAGAUAAUAUGUUAGAGCCAAGGACCAUAUUUUUGUGUUACACUUUCAGCUUCUCAGCUAUAACACCUUCAACACAAGGAGAAAGUCCCCG